UACGUAGGGUGCAAGCGUUAUCCGGAAUUAUUGGGCGUAAAGAGCUCGUAGGCGGUUUGUCGCGUCUGCUGUGAAAACCCGAGGCUCAACCUCGGGCCUGCAGUGGAUACGGGCAGACUAGAGGUAGGUAGGGGAGAAUGGAAUUCCCGGUGUAGCGGUGAAAUGCGUAGAGAUCGGCAGGAACACCCAGGGGGAAACCAGUGGACUGGGCAUGUGCUGACGCUCAGGUGCGAAAGCGUGGGGAGCGAACCGG
rnacentral:rRNA from 1 species